rnacentral:rRNA from 1 species
GACGAACGCUGGCGGCGUGCUUAACACAUGCCAGUCGAACGGAAAGGCCCUGCUUUUGUGGGGUGCUCGAGUGGCGAACGGGUGAGUAACACGUGAGUAACCUGCCCUUGACUUUGGGAUAACUCCAGGAAACUGGGGCUAAUACCGGAUAGGAGCUCCUGCUGCAUGGUGGGGGUUGGAAAGUUGCGGCGGUUGGGGAUGGACUCGCGGCUUACCAGCUUGUUGGUGGGGUAGUGGCUUACCAAGGCUUUGACGGGUAGCCGGCCUGAGAGGGUGACCGGCGACAUGGGGACUGAGAGACGGAGCAGAGUCGUACGGGAGGCAGCGGUGGGAAAUAUUGCACAAUGGGCGGGAGCCUGAUGCAGAGGCGCCGCGUGCGGGAUGACGGCCUUCGGGUUGUAAAACGCUUUCGCCUGUGACGAAGCGUGAGUGACGGUAAUGGGUGAAGAAGCACCGGCUAACUACGUG